UACGGAGGGUGCAAGCGUUGUCCGGAUUUAUUGGGUUUAAAGGGUGCGUAGGCGGCUUUAUAAGUCCGUGGUGAAAGCCAACAGCUCAACUGUUGAACUGCCAUGGAUACUGUAAGGCUUGAGUACAGACGAGGUAGGCGGAAUGGAUAGUGUAGCGGUGAAAUGCAUAGAUACUAUCCAGAACACCGAUUGCGUAGGCAGCUUACUAGGCUGUAACUGACGCUGAGGCACGAAAGCGUGGGGAGCGAACAGG
rnacentral:rRNA from 1 species